UGCCAGCAGCCGCGGUAAUACGGAGAGGGCAAGCGUUGUUCGGAUUUACUGGGCAUAAAGCGCACGUAGGCGGAUCAGUAAGUCGGUUGUGAAAUCCCAGGGCUUAACCCUGGAACUGCUUCCGAAACUACUAAUCUUGAGGAUGAGAGGGGAGAGUGGAACUUCUGGUGGAGCGGUGAAAUGCGUAGAUAUCAGAAGGAACACCGGUGGCGAAAGCGACUCUCUGGCUCAUAUCUGACGCUGAGGUGCGAAAGCUAGGGUAGCAAACGGGAUUAGAUA
rnacentral:rRNA from 1 species